UUGCAGUUAAAAAGCUCGUAGUUGGAUUUCUGCGGGGGCGGGGCGGCCGGUUGCUUAUAGCAACUCGAGCUAGCACUUCCCCUGCAUCCUGCCGCGAACCGUGCUACCAUUAGUUUGGUGGCGCUGGGGAUCGGCUCGUCUACUUUGAGAAAAAUAGAGUGUUCAAAGCAGGCCACACGCCUUGAGUAAGUUAGCAUGGAAUAAUGAUAAAGGACUUCGGUUCUAUUUUGUUGGUGUUCGGGACUGAAGUAAUGAUUGAUAGGGACAGUUGGGGCGGUCCGUAUUCCAAAGCGAGAGGUGAAAUUCUUAGACCUUCGGAAGACGAACAGCUGCGAAAGCGUUCCGCAAGGAUGUUCCCUUUGAUCAAGAACGAAAGUUGGGGGAUCGAAGACGGUCAGAUACCGUCGUAGUCUCAACUAUAAACUAUACCAGCUAGGGAUCGGCCAACGUUUAAUUACACCGACUUGGUCGGCACCUUAUGAGAAAUCAAAGCAUCUGGGUUCCGGGGGGAGUAUGGUCGCAAGGCUGAAACUUAAAGGAAUUGACGGAAGGGCACCACCAGCCGUGGAGCCUGCGGCUUAAAUUUGACUCAA
rnacentral:rRNA from 1 species